CCAAACUGUUGCCUCGGCGGGAUCUCUGCCCCGGGUGCGUCGCAGCCCCGGACCAAGGCGCCCGCCGGAGGACCAACCAAAACUCUUUUUGUAUACCCCCUCGCGGGUUUUUUUUUUUAUAAUCUGAGCCUUCUCGGCGCCUCUCGUAGGCGUUUCGAAAAUGAAUCAAAACUUUCAACAACGGAUCUCUUGGUUCUGGCAUCGAUGAAAAACGCAGCGAAAUGCGAUAAGUAAUGUGAAUUGCAAAAUUCAGUGAAUCAUCGAAUCUUUGAACGCACAUUGCGCCCGCCAGUAUUCUGGCGGGCAUGCCUGUCCGAGCGUCAUUUCAACCCUCGAACCCCUCCGGGGGGUCGGCGUUGGGGAUCGGCCCUGCCUCUUGGCGGUGGCCGUCUCCAAAAUACAGUGGCGGUCUCGCCGCAGCCUCUCCUGCGCAGUAGUUUGCACACUCGCAUCGGGAGCGCGGCGCGUCCACAGCCGUUAAACACCCAACUUCUGAAAUGUUGACCUCGGAUCAGGUAGGAAUACCCGCUGAACUUAAGCAUAUCAAUAAGCGGAGGAA
rnacentral:rRNA from 1 species